rnacentral:lncRNA from 1 species
AAUCAGUCACAAGAAUGUCGAAUCUGAAUCACUUGAAAAAAACACGGGGGUGCUUAACUUUUUUCCAGGUGUAUAUAUAUAGGUGUGUG